rnacentral:rRNA from 1 species
GCUAACUACGUGCCAGCAGCCGCGGUAAUACGUAGGCAGCAAGCGUUGUUCGGAAUUACUGGGCGUAAAGAGUGCGUAGGCGGUUGGUCAAGUUUGGUGUGAAAUCUCCCGGCUCAACUGGGAGGGUGCGCCGAAAACUGGCCGACUAGAGUGCGGGAGAGGAUAGUGGAAUUCCUGGUGUAGCGGUGAAAUGCGUAGAUAUCAGGAGGAACACCUGAGGUGUAGACGGCUAUCUGGACCGUAACUGACGCUGAGGCACGAAAGCGUGGGUAGCAAACAGGAUUAGAUACCCUUGUAGUC